rnacentral:rRNA from 1 species
GUGAACGCUGGCGGUAGGCCUAACACAUGCAAGUCGAACGGCAGCACAGUAAGAGCUUGCUCUUACGGGUGGCGAGUGGCGGACGGGUGAGGAAUACAUCGGAAUCUACUUUUUCGUGGGGGAUAACGUAGGGAAACUUACGCUAAUACCGCAUACGACCUACGGGUGAAAGCAGGGGAUCUUCGGACCUUGCGCGAUUGAAUGAGCCGAUGUCGGAUUAGCUAGUUGGCGGGGUAAAGGCCCACCAAGGCGACGAUCCGUAGCUGGUCUGAGAGGAUGAUCAGCCACACUGGAACUGAGCCACGGUCCAGACUCCUACGGGAGGCAGCAGUGGGGAAUAUUGGACAAUGGGCGCAAGCCUGAUCCAGCCAUACCGCGUGGGUGAAGAAGGCCUUCGGGUUGUAAAGCCCUUUUGUUGGGAAAGAAAAGCAGCAGGUUAAUACCCCGCUGUUCUGACGGUACCCAAAGAAUAAGCACCGGCUAACUUCGUG